CAACUCGCCUGCAUGAAGUUGGAAUUGCUAGUAAUCGCGAAUCAGAAUGUCGCGGUGAAUACGUUCCCGGGCCUUGUACACACCGCCCGUCACACCAUGAGAGUCGAUAACACCCGAAGCCUGUGAGCUAACCGUAAGGAGGCAGCAGUCGAAGGUGGGGUUGAUGAUUGGGGUGAAGUCGUAACAAGGUAGC
rnacentral:rRNA from 1 species